UUAUUGUUUCAUCUGGUGGGCGAGUAAUAUUUUGAUCAGGCACGUUUGGGGCUCCACAUUCAGGGGUCCUCAUAUCGAAAAGUAUCAACCGCCGUCAUUUACAGUUUAAACUUAUGAAUAUUAGAACAAACACAUGAGGCGUUAUUAUAUCACACACUGCGCACGGCAUCCGCAGCUGAGAUCAAGAGGUGCAUGAGUUCAUUUCUAUGAAUUUUGCACUCUGAAAGAACUGAAAUCCUGGAUGUGAGCCGUUGAUGUUUCUGAUAUACCCUCAAGGUAUUCAGUUCUGCUCAUGAAAAUGCAUCUUCAUGAGGAGUUUAGUGUUCGUGCGUCAUUAUCUGAUCUCACUCACACCUAAAGCCUGAUAUUGAGGUACAGUUGGUUAUACGUUACCACAUUUAGACUUUCUCAACAUAAUUUCAGAAAAUGCUAAAUAGGGAAAUCAUAUUAGUAGACAAUGUACAUUGUUCCCAGUCAAUAUGCAAGUCAUACUUGCAUGUUAUUUUUGACCCAAUUUUCAAAGUAGUGUGGUAAACCUUAUACAGAUCAUGUCACAAGUUGUCACUGUUCAAAAAUAAACAAAUGUGCGAAUAUUAAAACAGCUCAAUCCUGAUGUUGAAGUAAA